rnacentral:tRNA from 1 species
GUGGCUGUAGCUCAACUUGGUUAGAGCACCUGGCUGUGGCCCAGGGGGUUGGGGGUUCAAAUCCCCUCAGUCACC